GAUUUACAUUUGAGUGAGUGGCGAACUGGUGAGUAACACGUGGGAAACCUGCCCAGAAGCGGGGGAUAACACCUGGAAACAGAUGCUAAUACCGCAUAACAACUUGGACCGCAUGGUCCGAGCUUGAAAGAUGGCUUUGGCUAUCACUUUUGGAUGGUCCCGCGGCGUAUUAGCUAGAUGGUGGGGUAACGGCUCACCAUGGCAAUGAUACGUAGCCGACCUGAGAGGGUAAUCGGCCACAUUGGGACUGAGACACGGCCCAAACUCCUACGGGAGGCAGCAGUAGGGAAUCUUCCACAAUGGACGAAAGUCUGAUGGAGCAACGCCGCGUGAGUGAAGAAGGGUUUCGGCUCGUAAAACUCUGUUGUUAAAGAAGAACAUAUCUGAGAGUAACUGUUCAGGUAUUGACGGUAUUUAACCAGAAAGCCACGGCUAACUACGUGCCAGCAGCCGCGGUAAUACGUAGGUGGCAAGCGUUGUCCGGAUUUAUUGGGCGUAAAGCGAGCGCAGGCGGUUUUUUAAGUCUGAUGUGAAAGCCUUCGGCUCAACCGAAGAAGUGCAUCGGAAACUGGGAAACUUGAGUGCAGAAGAGGACAGUGGAACUCCAUGUGUAGCGGUGAAAUGCGUAGAUAUAUGGAAGAACACCAGUGGCGAAGGCGGCUGUCUGGUCUGUAACUGACGCUGAGGCUCGAAAGUAUGGGUAGCAAACAGGAUUAGAUACCCUGGUAGUCCAUACCGUAACGAUGAAUGCUAAGUGUUGGCAGGGUUUCCCGCCCUUUCAGUGCUGCAGCUAACGCAUUAAGCAUUCCGCCUGGGGAGUACGGCCGCAAGGCUGAAACUCAAAGGAAUUGACGGGGGCCCGCACAAGCGGUGGAGCAUGUGGUUUAAUUCGAAGCUACGCGAAGAACCUUACCAGGUCUUGACAUACUAUGCAAAUCUAAGAGAUUAGACGUUCCCUUCGGGGACAUGGAUACAGGUGGUGCAUGGUUGUCGUCAGCUCGUGUCGUGAGAUGUUGGGUUAAGUCCCGCAACGAGCGCAACCCUUAUUAUCAGUUGCCAGCAUUAAGUUGGGCACUCUGGUGAGACUGCCGGUGACAAACCGGAGGAAGGUGGGGAUGACGUCAAAUCAUCAUGCCCCUUAUGACCUGGGCUACACACGUGCUACAAUGGAUGGUACAACGAGUUGCGAACUCGCGAGAGUAAGCUAAUCUCUUAAAGCCAUUCUCAGUUCGGAUUGUAGGCUGCAACUCGCCUACAUGAAGUCGGAAUCGCUAGUAAUCGCGGAUC
rnacentral:rRNA from 2 species